rnacentral:rRNA from 1 species
AAUCAACGCUGGCGGCGUGCCUAAUACAUGCAAGUCGUACGCGAAAGUCCCGCAAGGGGCAAGUAGAGUGGCAAACGGGUGAGUAACGCGUGGGCGACCUACCUUCGAGUGGGGGAUAACCUUCCGAAAGGAGGGCUAAUACCGCAUGACACCCCGUGUUUGGAUACACGGGUUUCAAAGCCGGGGAUCGCAAGACCUGGCGCUUGGAGCAGGGCCCGCGUCCGAUUAGCUAGUUGGUGGGGUAACGGCCCACCAAGGCAACGAUCGGUA